CCUCACGUAGCUCAGUGGAUAAAGCAUCUGCCUGCAAUGCAGGAGACCUGGGUUCAAUUCCUGGGUUGGGA
rnacentral:tRNA from 1 species